UACGUAGGGGGCAAGCGUUGUCCGGAUUUACUGGGCGUAAAGAGCGUGUAGGCGGCCAAACAGGUCCGUUGUGAAAACUCGAGGCUCAACCUCGAGACGUCGGUGGAAACCGUUUGGCUAGAGUCCGGAAGAGGAGAGUGGAAUUCCCGGUGUAGCGGUGAAAUGCGCAGAUAUCGGGAAGAACACCCGUGGCGAAGGCGGCUCUCUGGGACGGUACUGACGCUGAGACGCGAAAGCGUGGGGAGCGAACAGG
rnacentral:rRNA from 1 species